ACGCUCAGUACGCGCUCGAGGUCUCAGUCAGUUUCGCACCCACACGUCCAUCGGCCUCUGCGAGUUUUACCACCGCUGGCACUGCACAAAUAGCUCGAAGGGUGACGUCAUUGAUUGAGGACAGAGACACACAUCUUCAUAGGAGGUGGUGCUUGAACUUUCUAUUUUCCCCUCUCCCCCGGCAUGUCGGCCAAGGCGAUGCAAGCCUCAUCCGGCAUAUCGCCGUCUACCGGCGGCAUCAUCCCUGCCGCUGUGCCGGCUUCUGAGGGCGCCAAGUCACAGGCAUCCUUCGCGGUCAUUGGCAGCAGCGUCAGCGAUGGACGCCGCCGCAUGCAGAUUCCGUGGCGGCAGAUCUCGAAUCAGCAGCUCGACAGCAUCUGCCGUGCUCUGCUGGAUCGCGAGUUCGACACCCCUAUCCACACCAUCGACCUCAUGGAUAACCAACUGGGGCCUACAGGGGCGGUGAAGAUUGCCUCCUGCCUCGAAUCCUCACCGGUGACGGAGGUGUUUAUCUGCUACAACGACAUUGGCAAGGAGGGGUGCGACGGGCUGGCUGGGGUGGUGAACCUGUCACACAGCUUGCAGGUUCUCGAUAUCCGCGGUAAUCACCUAUCCGCGAGCGACGUGCAUCGCCUGCUGCGCUCCGUCUCCAUGUCCACGGCGCUUUCGCGGCUGGGAUUGGCAUCGAACAGGCUAGGCCCUGAGGGGGCGGCGCUCGCCGCGAAGGCGCUGGAGCGCAACACGUACCUGUCCUCGCUGGACCUCUCCGUGAACGAGCUGGGCCCGAGUGGUGCGGAGUGUCUUGCCGGCAUCCUACGCAAUUCUGUAUCGGCGCUGCGGGUUCUGCAGCUGCAUGGCAACUAUCUUGGUCCAACGGGCGUGAUAGCCAUCUGCGAUGCCGUGAGGACGAACAAGGAACUCAGACGGUUGACACUGGGGAACAACCACGCCACAGACGAGGCCGCCGGCGCCGUUGCCGCGAUGCUCGAGGCCAAUGACACCCUCGAGGAACUCGACAUCCGCCUGAACACGCUCACGGCAAACGGUGUAAGGACGAUUGUGCAGCAGGGUCUUGCCAAGAACACCUCCCUCGCUGUGCUGUCGCUCUCCGGAAACGAGGUUGGCCCGGUGGGAGCGAACGAGCUCACGCAGGUUCUCACUUCUCACCAGCGCAGCGUUCUAGAGCAGCUGGACUUGAGCUCUUGUGGGCUGACCGCUAGCGGCGGUGCACGCGUUGCUAGCUUGCUCAGCACGUCUAUGUCCCUUAAGGAAAUCAAUCUUAGCGACAACGCUCUCGACGACGAGGCCGCGGUGCGCCUCGCACAGAACAUCACGGAUGGCAUCACGAUUUCCGUCGUCGAUGUCUCCUGCAACAAGAUCGGCGAGGAGGGUGCCUCACAGCUCAUCGAUGCAGCGCUGCGGAAUGCGCAGCUUGUGGCGCUGGUGACGAACGGCAACAACAUCUCACGCGCUGCCCAGAAGAGGCUGGACAACUUGCUGGAGGAGCGAUUGGCCAAGAACCGCGUAGCAGGUCCGCAGACGGCACUCUGCCAACAACAAAAACUUCCCUAUCAGCAGCACGCUGCCCUUUCCGCCGCUGCACCGACGGCCGCCGCAUAAGAGAAGGGCAGUGUACAGCGUACAGAGAGGGAUCCGUUGCGGCGGUGAUGGCUCUCGCACCGCCUAGUUUCUCCCUACUCCUUCGCCUCCUCCUCCUGAGCGCAUAUGCCCCAACGGGUCAGACGACACGGAGUGUGACCGCGUCGGUUAUGUGCUGAGCCCAUGGCGUUGCGCGCUUCUUCGUGGCUGGCCUCGCUGAGCUCGAGGUGAGCGCUGCGUUUCAGUGACUGCCGCUGUGGGUUGCUGCCGAUGUACAUAACAUGGCUUUUGGUUUUCUUCUUCCUUCUGCGCCUCCGAGAAGGAACGCUAAAGCACGCGAAUGGGAGCGGGAUGCAUGGAUGGAAGACGAAAGGAGGGGGUAAUGGAUGGAUGGGUGCGGUGGUGGGGGGCACCCCAACAAUGGCAGGAGAGGGAGAGGAGGAGGAGAGGAGACCGAGUAUGCAUCCACGUGCCCCGCCCUCCCACGGAGUCUCUCUCCUGUCGGCGAGUCACGUUAAGGGCCGUCUAUCACGCGCCCCCCUCCCUUGUUGAUGUUCGCUCUGCUUGUCCUACUUUUUCUUUGCCCUGCUGUGGAACGUACACGAGCGUCUCUGUCCUUGUUGUUCGCGUGGGCGCCUGCCGACGCUGCGUAGCGAAUGCCAUGACGGUAUGGCUCACCAUGCUGCACGGUGCCCGCAUCUCUCUCUUUCCCCCCUUUUUCGCCCUGCGCUACCUCCGAGUGGCAUCUUGCUUGAGGCGGCACGGAAGAGAAGGGUGCUCGUAGCGCCUCCAUUCUUUUCCUCCUCCCAUCCAAUUUUCCCUCCUUCCUCCCCCUCCCUGCGCACAGCUCUCUCUCGUCCGCGGAGGCGCUCGGAGGUUAUGUGGCAUAGUUGCGAGCGCGUGUAUAUGUCAGGUGCGUGCACUUUUCCCAGAUUGCUCCCAUCCUCGCUCUCUAUGUCUACCCGCUCGCCGCCGCCUGAACAUGUCUGUCACGUGGACUGUUCUGCCCACGUACUCGUUCUGUGUGUGUGUGUGUGCCUCCGCCUAUGACGCUCUGGGCGCUUGCGCUUCCUC
rnacentral:misc_RNA from 1 species